rnacentral:rRNA from 1 species
AUUGAACGCUGGCGGCAUGCCUUACACAUGCAAGUCGAACGAGACCUUCGGGUCUAGUGGCGCACGGGUGCGUAACACGUGGGAAUUUGCCUCGGGGUAUGGAAUAACUCAGGGAAACUUGAGCUAAUACCAUAUAAUGUCUUCGGACCAAAGAUUUAUCGCCCUGAGAUAAGCCCGCGUAGGAUUAGCUAGUUGGUGGGUAAAGGCCUACCAAGGCGACGAUCCAUAGCUGGUCUGAGAGGAUGAUCAGCCACACUGGUACUGAGACACGGACCAGACUCCUACGGGAGGCAGCAGUGGGGAAUAUUGGACAAUGGGCGAAAGCCUGAUCCAGCAAUGCCGCGUGAGUGAUGAAGGCCUUAGGUUGUAAAGACUCUUUUACCCGGGACUGAUAAUGACAGUACCGGAGGAAUAAGCUCCGGCUAACUCCGUGCACGCAGCCGCGGUAAAGU